rnacentral:lncRNA from 1 species
AAUAACCGUCUUAUGCCUCUUUUCAAAAGCAACGGUUUACAAUAAAAGUAAAGUCGGAAAUCUUUUCUGAAAGAGGAACCAUUCUAUUCUCAAAACAUCAAAGCCUUUCAAAAAGGUUUAUCUAUACUGUACCAAAAUAGCUUUUCAUAUUUUAUUCUAAACCAGAAACACGAAACCAAAAUCAACCAUCGGUUCAUCUCAUUCCAACCACGGCCCUAGGCCCAAACAAUCCAACCAUCAACCAAUCACCACAAUCCAACAGAGUCCCAGUAGCAAACACAAAUAGGAAGAUGCAAGCUCAAGAAAACAGUUAUUGCAAGUAGAACAAUUAGCAAUUAAUCACAUAGGCAAACCAAGUAUAAUAUGCACACCCAAACAAUGUCACAUAAAUGCAUAUGAUGCAUGCCUGUCCCUAGUGGCUGAUGAUAUCAUCUGUCGGUUAUAUAGCCAAUCCGACACGUCCUGGUAGCUAACCAUGGACAGAAACACCCCUCGCGGAGCAAGUAGGUUUGAGCUACAACCCCGUUGCUACUACCCGCUCAACCCAGAGCCAGUAGAACAACCACUACUGCGGCUACUACCCAAGCGGGUGUUUAAAAGCUCAACCUGGAGCGAGUGGAAUCACCACUACUACCGCUACUACCCAGGCGUCACAACCUCUGACCUGGAGCAAGUGGGACGAACCACAACCCUUGCUACUGCCCAGGCAUUUCAAGCAUAUAUUCAUUCAGUCCCAACCAUGGAUCAACAUCCAUCUUAGCCAUCCGGCUUAAAUUCAUAAUUCAUAGUCAGCCAUACGGCCCAUAACUCAUUCGGCAAUCAGCCAUAAACUAAUAUCAUACACAGCCAUUUCGGCUCACGGCUCAAUCAAGAACCAGCCAAUAUUCAUAAUCAUACACAGCCAUUCCGGCUCACAACAAAACAACACUUCCACCAUUCAACAUCAUCAAAUUCAUAAAAUNNNNNNNNNNNNNNNNNNNNNNNNNNNNNNNNNNNNNNNNNNNNNNNNNNNNNNNNNNNNNNUAACAAUGGGAUUUUAUAACAAAAGCUUCUCGGCAGAGUCCCAAGUCUUUAGGGAAGGUCAACUUAUAUCAAUUCCUUAAAAUUCAUUGAAACUCUUAAAAUCAUAGAUUCUCGGUUCAAGUAAAUAAAACUGAAUUUACUAUAAAACUGGCCAUUCAAAAUCACAAGUUCCAACCCGGUCCAAAAAUCAACUCAUUUGAAACGGAACCGGUUCAUUUGAAUCAAAUCACAUUCACGUUUCUUUUUGGAAUCCAUUUUUUUCUAAUCCUUCCAAAAUGCCUCAAACUUAAUUACUCAAUCAAAAGUCUA